GAGUUUGAUCCUGGCUCAGAUUGAACGCUGGCGGCAUGCCUUACACAUGCAAGUCGAACGGCAGCACGGGAGCUUGCUCCUGGUGGCGAGUGGCGAACGGGUGAGUAAUGCAUCGGAACGUAUCCUGGAGUGGGGGAUAACGUAGCGAAAGUUACGCUAAUACCGCAUAUUCUGUGAGCAGGAAAGCGGGGGACCUUCGGGCCUCGCGCUCUUGGAGCGGCCGAUGUCGGAUUAGCUAGUGGUGAGGUAAAGGCUCACCAAGGCGACGAUCCGUAGCAGGUCUGAGAGGAUGAUCUGCCACACUGGAACUGAGACACGGUCCAGACUCCUACGGGAGGCAGCAGUGGGGAAUUUUGGACAAUGGGGGCAACCCUGAUCCAGCCAUGCCGCGUGAGUGAAGAAGGCCUCGGUUGUAAG
rnacentral:rRNA from 1 species